GACAGGGAUUAGUCAAAAUCGAAAACGUCAUUUGGGCUCACGCUGGCUCCAGAAAUCGCUUGCUAAUUGUCUUGUCUUUUCUAGGGUAAAAACCUGUAAAAAGUAGUUUGUCGAUUUUGUUGUUGAUGUUUCUGAAAUUAUAUUACACAACAGGUUGAAUGUAUUAUCGUCAAUAAAUCAUGUUCAGGAUCCGUCUUAAAAUGGGACCGUCAAUAAGAAGCAAAGAAUGGACCUGCUGUUUUGGACUUCAUGUUCGCACAGCAACGAUUAUAUAUGGAGUGUGGCAUUUGUUUCUGAAUGUUUUAGCAUUGGGUAUACUUUCUGUGAUUAUCAGAACUAACAACUAUCAUCUUUUGUUGGACGAUCUAAAUGAAGGCGACGACAAUGGAAACGAUUUAAUCGCUCCAAUAUUACCUACACCACUGAGUAAAGUAGAUCCAACCUAUGCAUAUCGUGACCACUUUCAGCAAACAGGACUACGUAGCAAUGACGUUGAUAUGAGUGGAUUGGUGUUCCUCUGCAUGAUUGCGGUUACACUAAUGUUGAUAUAUGGGGCUGUCAAGGGGAAGCCUUCACAUCUAUUGCCGUUUUUCUGUUUACAGAUAUUCGACUUCGCUAUUGUUACACUUACCGCUGCAGGGCACUUGUGCUACAUAAAAUCAAUGCAUCUUUGGAUAACUGAAAGUCAAAAUCGACUUCCAUGGCGAGAAGAGUUGAUUAAAUUAAACCCAAAAAUAUUGUCGGUGCUUGUACUGAUUGGGUUCAUAUUUUUUAUUCUUCUCAAAGCAUACGCGAUUGGAAUUGUUUGGCGUUGCUACAAAUGCUUAACCUUGCAACAGCGCAAUAUACGGUCUUUGUUACCAUACAUUAUUCCAGAUACACCUGAUAUUCCAAAUCUUCAUCAGGAACGUGACAAUAAUUCACUUUUGCCAGGGUACGAAGAAGCUAUCGCGACCGGGAUAAAGCAAGCACCUCCACCAUCUUAUGUGGUUGCUAUGGCGAUGAACAACAAAAUCACUGCUCAAUCUAAUUCAGUCGAGCCGUUAGCAUCACGCGAAAACAGUAGCAACGAUAACAACUGCUUGUAUCCUCCUUCAUACAACUCGAUCGACAACUCUUCCGAAUCAAACGCUGCAGUAUUCAACAAAAAUGUUUCAGUUAUAACCAUGGAAUCAACCUCAAUAGAUCGUGUAAAUGGUGUGCCAGGAACUGAUGCAAUAUCUUGCAGAAAUUUGCAGAUUUAUACUGCAUGCUAUUGCAUAAAUCGAUCUGGCAACCGCAAUACCACAAUAAUUCAUUCAACACUGUCAAAACAUCAGUCCUCAAACAGGAGAGUGUUGUGAAUCGAGACGGUCAACACUCGGUUUCUCGUGCAGUUGUCGUAGAGUGUAGAUAGCUGUAGCAAAUUGACGACCCAUUCGCGUUUUUCGACGGAACCGAGGAAAUAUACGAGUCGGUAAAGCAAGUUUUGCAGCUUUCGGACGAAUUUAAUCCAAUCAACCUGCUAACACGCUGCUGAGAAGGUAAAAAGAAAAACGUCUACUUUUGCGCAGAUAAUGAAUACAUCUAGUAUGGGGUGAUAGUUUAGUGUGACAAACGGAACAGAUUGUUCGUCUUCUGCUUGGCCCACGAUUGUUUCGGCAGUAUAAUCAGCUUCAUCGGGAAUGAAAGACGAGUGUCCAUCGGAAAGGACGAUCCGAUCAAACUGCUGUCUUAUAGCGACCCGACGAAUCCACCGGUACUAGAUGCGUUGAGCGAAACCUGUCAUAAGGAGGUUGAAAAUAACCAGUAAGCUCUAUGCUGCAGUACAGAGCGGAAGACGGUUUGAGGAUGAACAUCGUUGAUUGGCGUGUUGAGGCGUACGUCGAUCACCACGACAUGGUACACAUGCUGCGGAUGUGUCAAGAUAUGAACUGGCCGAGAGUGGACGAAAAAUUAAAGGCGUUUUUGCUUGACCCCGAAACUGAGUCAGGUUCUGACCUCAACUGGUAUCAGUUCAUACAUUUUGACAACAGUUGGGGUUAGAACAUGACUCAGUUUCGCUUCAAGCAAGAAUGACGUAAGACUGUGCUCUAUUCGCAAAGAAAAAAAGUUUGAGGAACGAAAGGAAGCUAACUGGAUCAGAUGACUUAACGAUUCCGUUGUAUACCUUUUGGAGACCGCUUAACUUGUUAAAUGUUUAUGUUCUUUAAACAACAUAAUUUCUAAAAUGAAUAAAUAUAUAGAAAUCCAUUCGAAAUUGUUUAAUAUGGGUGCGGGCUAGCUGGCAUACACUUAUUUAGCAUAUCGGGCAUUUAAAAUAGUUUCGAUAAGUGAUUCUGUAGGUAGGUGAAUGGACAACAAUAACUUUAGCUAUGCAGUAGAGUAUGCUAGCUAGGCUGAAUGACGGGUUCUAGGGAACUGUGCCUUACAGUUUUGGAGCAGCAUCGGAUGUUGUAAAUUGUUAUAAACUCCUAUUCGAUUGUUUUCAUGACGGUUCGGUAAAACCAAAUUGUUGCUGAAGCCGAUCAAUCAAGAUUGUCCAAUUAAAUGUAUCCGAAACCGACGAUUUUUGUAACUGCGCCAGAACCCACACGGUACGAUAAUCCGGAACCGACGUGUGGAAGGUAUCGCUAUAAACCUUAAGUUUUAUAACAUUUCUGAUAUCGUACGCAUCCUCGUCCGUAUCACCGACGUAGUUCUUUCCUUGAUUUGAAAAACAGUUUUCACUAUCAGGUACUCGUUAACACUAAUAAAAUUACGAUGUAGCCCAGCUUUGUGUACAUGUCGAUUGCCACCUCAUUGUUAACUUAUGGGUAUUGUUGACAGCUUGAUAUAGAUUUUUUAUAAAAUUCGUUAAGAUAAAUGUAUUGAGAAUUUUAUUGUCUGUUUGCUACUAAAUUAUUUUGCAAGGCAACAUGAAAGACGAUUCACAUGAUACAUCAGGCUUCCGUCACCGGUACAGAACGUCAAGAUUAGUUACAUGCAGUUAAAUGGAGGUAUUCACACACAAUAUGAACGGUACGGAACGUUUUGACGUACGGCACCUGUGAACGGGUACACGAGAAACGCAAUUAACUUAUCUUGACGGAACGGUGACGUUCCGUUGACGUUGACGUAAGCUGAUGUAUCGUCUGAAUCGUGCUUAAAAAGCUGUUUUAACCUUCCGGCAGUCGCGCUAGUGCACUGAGUGCACGCUGCUUUGAAAAUUUAGUGAAAUCGUCUUCGGGCAUCAGCGGCUGCUCGUCCAGUGGGCCAUAGGUGCGACUUCCAGAGGGUUAAACAAUAUUGAUAAACGUUUAUAUACGGCAUAUGAACAUGGUGACCAGAUCAAACAAGCAAAACCCCAGGACUGUCCCAGUCCACCCACCAUACCUCGUUCUUUUCAAUAGACCUUUCUCAUCCGACCUAACCCCCUUUUUUCUUAUUUUUAUUCAAAAGACUACACAUUUUUAAGAAUAUUUCCGUUGAAAUGAGACUAUUUGGAGCUAUCGUGAUUUUUUAAUGAUUUUUUUAAAUUUGAAAAAUGCAAGAAUGUUGAGUAUUUUUUCCACCUUUGCAAGAAUGGUGGGACUCAAAAUGUGUGUUUGGGCAACACUGUUUUGAAUAUUUUUGCUUGAGUUCCUGGCAACGCGGCAAAUGAAGUGGUGAGUCGCGGUACAAAGUUCAUUGGUUAUGUAAACAAACUAAAGUGAACAUCUCGGUGGAGAACAUGGCAUGAUAAUGUUUAACCUCACUUUUUUGACAGUUCAGAGAGAUUGUUUACAUGGUCUUGGAAUUUUUGUUGAUUCGAUCAUAGUAUGAGAAACUUGGUUUGAUUCGCUGCCAAAUGUUAACACUUUCCAAACAAGGUCGCUCAGCUGUAAUUUUUUAUUUGAUGUCGGCAUCAUACAUUGUUCCGUUAAAUUUAACAUUUUUACUUUUCUUGUACAUGAUUCAUUGUACAAGUAAGGAAUUUCUAGCCAAACAUUUGAAAAAGGCCCACUGCCAAAUGCAAACAAAUCGAAUUUUCAUGUUCUCUAUUAAAAUCCUGGGACAAAACCUGUGGAUAUAUGUUUUCUUUUUCUUUUUUUCUGUUCAUUUGAUCUCUUGUCUUGCAUAGCCACUCUUUGUUCCUCACAUAUUUUAAAUGGACUGGCUACAUUUGACAGUUCCCCCUGACUGCAUUUGACGGUUCCCUUUGGCUACAUUUGACAGCUCUCCCUGGCUGCAAUUGACAUUAGGUUUUUUAGUAUCCACACGUCACGUCCCAGUUAAAAACUAUCUAUCUGGCCAUGUGCAUAAACAUAACGCAACAAUGGAUUAUGAAUAAUUUUGUUAAUGAUUUUAUAACAAAUUAUAAAAGGGCCCGGCUGAUAUAAAAGUCCUAACUAGCAAUACGCUUAUUAUAAAAUGAUUAUAAAGGAUUAUUGUAACUGAUUCCAAAAGGAUUAUAAAGGCAGUGACAUACGUACUCAAUGAAUUAAGGUGAGUGUCUGAUGUAAACAAUAUGCGCAAUCAAACUAAAUAAAACAGUAUUAAAUUUUUAAAUAGAAUUAUAAUGAAUUCGACCAAAACUUCUUUUGCUUUUUUCUCAAGGUUUACGUUUGGCAGUUAGACCCUUUUCAAAUGUUUCAAAUAUUUGGGUAAAAUUUAGAUUAUUUUAUCGUUGUUGCGAUCAAUUUCAUUUGGUUUGGUUUGUUCACAAUAUUAGUCGCAGAGCGUUUUGGUGACCUAUGACAAUUGAUGACCUUUACACCCCAUACUAGGUCCGCUCCUGUUGCAGCUGUUUCGCCCCGUCCGACACCGAGUCAACCGAUGUCCAGCCUGCGCCGCACUCGUCUGUCGCUAUGCCAAUGGCAGGGACUUGGAUUAAAGGCUAAAAGGUCAGCUACGGCUGACCUUGCUGCAAUCGGUUUGCCUUCGGCCACGUUGGACAUUCGGCUAACGGGAAUAUUCAGCGAUUCCGAUUCGAAGGAAGCUGCGCCAGUUGCAGACUGCUUCGGUUCAGCAAUACGCUCCGGUAUCGGACGAAGCUAACACUCCGGCAGGACGAAGGUUUCAAUGAGGGGCUCAGGCAUAAGUAGCAGAGUCCUUGCACUUACUGCUUGUCGAGUGAACAAUUCCGACGAAACCACAGCCACUCUCGCCAAGUUUGAUCACCGUUAUAAGUGCGACGUCAGCGGUAUAGUGCCAGGAAUAAUCGAGAAGAGUGCCAGGACUAACUUGCCAAGAGCUACAAGAUUAAAUAGCAGAGCGUUUUUAAAGUGGCCGUAGUAUAACGUAGAGGCUUUAGGCAUAUGAUUUAUUCAGCAGAAUAAGAUAGCAAAAUUAUCCAAAACAUAAGAGCCGGCUGCCGAAGUGAAUCCACACACAUCAUCACCUACAGAGGCAAGCAAUAUUGGAACGCAGCGAAAUUCCUCACAAUGAAUUGACCUCGUUAGAUGAAAUUCCAGGAUGUACAAUUUUCAUAGCAUAAUUUAAUCGACCGAAAUUGUAGUCCGAGAGAGAGACUGAUAGGGUAGCAGCAGCUAGGAAUUUUCUUUCGAAAGCUAGCAGUGGUUUCGCGUAUCCUGCGCUAAGUAGAGAGCGUUAAGACAGAUCUCCGAAGCAUGUCAAGUGCUAUCAGAUGAGAAAAAACGUCGCAUAUAUGACCAGUACGACAAGGACGGUCUGCUGACCAACGGUUUCGUCCGGUACCACCAUAACACACGGCACCGGCGACACAUAUAUUCACAACAUACUAAAUACUUAUCCUUCCGAAAAAGUAAAUAAAUUGACUAUGAAAUUUAUCAUUCGCUGCCUAGUUAUUUCGUGCCAAUUUGAACACGACAGCAGUUGCAGAAAGCUUUAUUGCGGUGCCAAAAUGAUGGCAACUUGGGAUAUAAUAUAAAUUUACAUAUAAUUUCUCCUCCCUGAUAUUCUAUCAGAAUGUUUAAUGCUCUGCAUUAUUAUCACUCCAAUCAAAUCCUUCUUACUCCUUAUCGUCAGUGCCGAGCGCUAUUUUGCAUUUGCCGGCUGAAUCAACGACAAUGCGAUAAUCCACCAUACUUUUGCUGUAAUGGAACUUGAACACGAAUAAUAAAUAAUUGUUCCAUUCGAAAGCGAUAACCUUGUUGUCCUCAUGUUUGCAGCUAUCAUACGCUGGUAGGCAUUCUGACCAAUGGAAGCGUUCUUCGAUAUGGGCAUUGAACGAUCAAAAUCAUUUCAACAACUUAUCAUCGAUCGAAUUCGUUACCUAUAAAGUUCAGGUAAACUUCACCACCUAAAAAUGAAUAAUCAAUCGGAUCAUCUUGUUAGGAAUUAACCCACGAGCAAACAAACAAAUGUGUACAAAUGUGAUAAGGAUCCAUCAUCCAGAAAGCAAUCGUUUUAUAGCCCAAUGCUUGAUCUUGCGAUUCAGCAUAUGCCACUGGGUUUUACAUCCAGCGCCGAUUGAUCAAUGUAUGAACCAGGUUACCAUUGUUCCAAUCCUCAUCCCUCUUGAGUUGAUAUUCUUUCAAAGAGCAUCGAAAGUAUUCAAGUAAUGUAAAUUUUAAAAGUCCGUGUAAACAAGUCUUAGGUAAACAAGCACACCAAAACUGUCAGAAAAGUGAGGUUAUACAUUUUCAUACAAUGCUCUAUAUUUUUGACAGGUAUAUGAAUGAAUCAUUUCAGCAUCAGUGAUGCCAGGUCUAUUUAAACAAUAGCCUGCAGUAAAAAUAUAAAAGUCUGCAGAUUGCUACAAAAAUGUUCAAUAAAUGCGACGUAGAAAUGUAGUAUGUAUAUAAUUUAAAUGAUCAAAAAUGUUGAAGGCUUGUGUAUAAAUUGGCUGGCAUAAGCUUUUUUCUGCUAAAUAUUUGUAAUCUGCAAAAGAUCUGCAGUAAAAAUUAAAAAGAUUUACUAAUAUAUAUGCAGAUCUGGCAUCCUUUUAAUAUUCCCCACAAGAAAUUCAUCCAAAUGGUGUAAAAAUACGGGGAAAUAAGGCAAGAUAGGUAUUCAGAAUAUGGGGUUAAAUGAGCAGCUUGCACUAUUUUUGAUUUUUUCAAUAGUUAGAGGUACCAAAUCAUCGUGGCAAUAGGCAGUAACGAAUUGGGGAUAAAAAAGGAAGCAUCCUAUCAUAUAAAAUUUUUUGACGAGAAAGGUCUAUUCAUCACAAAAAAUCUCGCUAUCGAAGCGACUAAACUACAGCACUUGCAAGUCAGCAACGGACGUGUCUUCGUGGGCACCGAUUCCGCUCAAACAGCACAGGACAUAGUACAAGAACACAACAUGAAGCACCGGCUAGAACACGACGGGAAAUCCUACAGCAUUCCACUGUCACUGGAAGAUGGAUCUAUUGAGGUUAGAGUUCAUGACCUCCGUCCGAGCACAAUGAACAGGCAGCUAGCAUACCGGAUGCGUGAGUACGGUGAAAUCAUGUCAAUCCGUGAUGAAGUCUGGAAAGAUUUCUUUCCUGGUGUCCCAAAUGGAGUUAGGAUAAUGCGAAUGAAACUUGUUAAACCGAUACCGUCAUAUGUGACGGUGGACACGACUAUGACUCUCAUAACCUACAAAGGUCAAGUCGCCACAUGCAAACAUUGCAAUCGACGAGUUCACUAUGCUCAAAAGUGCUCUGAGUAUGCAAAAUCCAUGAAGCCGAGCGUCAGCAGUCGUUUAACACUGGCCGAAAUUGUGAAAAACGGUGACAGCCGGUCGUUUCAGCAGCAAACUUUUCGUCAGCCAAAUGCCAGCUCCGCAGGGUUAAAAAAGGCGCACCUCACCAUGGGUCAAACAUAUCUUUAGCUGGUAGUGAUACCGCAAUGGUAGACGAGCCAUCACCUCAGAGCAGUGGUCAGCAACAAGCAGAGACUAUUAGUACUUCCCAAUCUACGAACGAUUGUCAAAUCGUAAAAAUUACGAGUCCGUUUGCCGGCUUUGCAGACGAAAGCAACGAAUUCAAAAUGAAAGGAAGAACAACGAAAAAAGACCGUCCCGGCUCGAAACAAGGCUAGAGCCACAUCUCACUCGAUCGACUUCGCGCAACAAACAAUAAGCAGGAAAACCAACCUAAACCAGCCUCGUCAUAUCAACAACAAAAAAACGAAUGUGAUAGUUUAUUCCUCUCCGACUUCCACCACUGCUACCUAUAACUGGUUUCAUCUCUGCCAAAAAAGGAGUGCUAACUUUUUACCUGCUCUCGCCACCGAUGUAUUUCGAAACAACCGUAAAUUCCAACACAACGUAAAAGAUAGAAAUCUGCAGGAACCAUUGUCAAUUGCCUCGCAACAAACUAGAUCUGCAAGCAGAGAUUAUGGUUGCCCUGGUAAGCAUUUUGGACAGUAUAUGUCCCGUCGAAGCAAAUUUAGAUACUGCCACCCUCAGCAAGUUUUCACCGUUCCCAGCUCCCCCGUGGCUGCUGAGCCCUGCUACUAUUCGUCGUGUCAACCAAACAUGAACAAAUGCAUCAUCCUAUGACCGCUAUUAUGGAGAUUCCAGCCAGCUAAGUGCUAUCAAUCACAUUAAAGGGAAAAUGCUAUCGCUUCAACGAAACUACACACAAAAAAUAUGUUGUAAUUUUAAAUGUAUUUCCAUGCACAUAUUUAGAGCAUGAAUAUAAAUGUAAAGUUAAGUUCCCUCGCAAAUAUACACAACUUGUCGUGCUUUCUUCAACGAAUUUUACUAUAAUUUUACAUGUUGAUUGAAAAUAACAGUUGCAUUAAACGGCAAACCAAAGCACAUUGGUGUAUUUUAAAUCCAAUAUUGCUGUAAAAUAUGUGACAUGUAAUAUCACAUGAACGAAAGUGUAAAAUCUUAUGCUUUUUGAUGCUCCUAUUGAGUGCAUCGAAUUCUACUUAAUUUUCAAUCAAAUUUUUGAUUCAAGCGUUGUAUGUUUACAUUCGUAUUGAUUUACAUGUCAUUUAAAUUUCAUUAUUUUUUGGUGUGUAUGCACAACAAACAAGGAGUUGGAACGAAGCAUACAUCGGAGGCGAAAGUACAUCAAUAUUCCACGUAGCAAAUCAAAAGACUCGACGAGCUGAAACUUCGAUCAAAACGCUGCAGAUUGACGCUGAUACCAUAAGGGAGCCUAAUGAAAUACGCCAAAGCGUACAGGAAUAUUUCGCGAAUCUGUACUCUGUACGCAUACUACAGUAAACGAAAAUUUCAACCCAACACAACGCAUCGCAAACGACAAUGAGGACAACCAGCGUAUAGCGUAUAGUGAAUGAAAGCAAGCAGCUCACGCAAAUCUCCUGGUAUUGACGGUCUACCAAAGGAAUUUUAUUUAAAAUCGUGGCAAGUAAUUCAGCGAGAGUUCACCUUUAUAAUAAAUGAAGCCUUGUCCUCUCAAGCCCCUAAGGAGUUUUUUGACGGUGUCAUUGUGCUAGUCAAAAAGAAGAAAAGCGACGACAGCAUAAAAUCGUACAGGCCGAUUUCACUUCUGAACGCUGACUACAAAAUCUUCACUAGGAUACUGAAGAACAGAAUAAGUCCCCUCCUUCCACUGGUGUUAUCAAAAAAACAAAAAUGCUGCAACGGAAAGCGAAACAUUUUUGAGGCUACCGCCCGCAUACUGGACCGCAUUUGUGAGCUAAAACAACAGCAUGGAAACUCGAUGUUGGUAGCAUUUGACCUCGAUCAUGCCUUCGAUAGAUUGGAGUACAACUUUCUUGCAAGAACCAUGGAACAAAUGAAUUUCAAUCCGAAACUGAUAAACCUCCUCAUGUUCUGUAUGAAUAAUAGUUUCUCGAGAGUUCUGGUCAACGGUAAAUUCGGAAAUGAGAUCAAAAUUCAAAGGUCAGUGCGCCAAGGUGAUCCACUCUCAAUGAUUCUGUUUGUCAUCUACCUACAACCAUUGCUUGAUAACAAUUCCUCGCGCAGUAUUAAAUGCAAAGACAAUUCUCUCGCGCAGUAUUAAAUGCAUAUGCGGAUGAUAUCUCUAUGUUCAUCGAAAGUGAAUCUCAGUUACUCGCAAUCAUAAACAUCUUUGCUGACUUCACAGCUAUUUUAGGAGCAAAACUCAACACCCAGAAAACAAAAGCCUUGAGGAUCGGUUUAUUGGAUAUGACACCACAAAGUGAGUGGUUGCAAACGCAGACUUCAGUGAAAAUUCUCGGAAUACCCUUCGCGGAAGACUUCUCGAGCACGGUUGAACAAAUUUGAAUUGCGGUACUACGGGGAGUACAAACAUGUAUGUGGAUGAACAACUCCAGAAAUCUAAAUCUCAUACAGAAAAUAAUUUUGCUGAACACGUUCAUAACGUCGAAAAUCUGGUUCACGGCAUCAGUGAUCCCCCUACCGAAUAAAUACGCUGGAAAAUUCAUUUCACGGAUCGGCUCCUUCCUGUGGUACGGGAAGAAUUGGACCAGAAUUGCCUUCGAAACUUUAAUACUACCAAAAUGCCAAGGUGGUUUAAAUUUACAUUCACCGUCCUUCAAAGCAAAGGCCCUGCUAACCAACCGCAUGAUACAAAUCGGAUCGGAUCUACCCUUUUUGUGGAGUUUUCUGGAGCACAACGCAAAUCCUCCAAAUUUGUCGUGCAUUCCACGAAAAUACGAGCACAUCCGAACAGUAGUCAAAAAGACAGCAUUCCUGACCGAAGAAAUAGCUAGAGCACCGGAUUCAAGUACAAUAUACCACCACUUUUUAAAACAGCUAAAGGAGCCAAAAAUAGUACGGGAAAAUCCUCAACGUGAUUGGAAGACUAUCUUUAAAAACAUUCACUCCAAAUUUUUAAACUCACACCAACGAUCAAUGUGGUUUUCUGUGGUACAUCGCAAAAUUGUAACCAACGAGUUUUUGUAUAGGGUGAACAGGAGAGCUGACCCUAACUGCAACAUUUAUCCUGGUCAGACGGAUAGCAUCGAGCACCACCUAUUUAAAUGCAGCGAAAACAAACUCAUUUGGACUUACCAACGAAGCGUUUUUCUGGGCAUGGAUCGACGGCUUUUACAGCUGCAACAUGAGGACUGGAUAUACCCGGUUUUCCAACAACAAAAUAGACGCACCCGCCAGCAAAUCCUCAAGAAAUUUCGUCAAUGAUAUGCUACAUGACAAGCGUACCAGCAAAUGAGAAGAAUGUAAAUAGCUAUAAGUUUUAUUUGACAUGUAAUUAAAAAUUAGAAACCAGGACAAUAAAAGUUUUACAAAAAAAAAGUG